rnacentral:sRNA from 8 species
GAUUCGAGCGUCAGCGAGAAAGCGUUGCCGCAGGCAACGACCCGAAGGGCGAAGCGCGCAGCGCUGAGUCAUCCUUCCCCCACCACCA